GUGGGGAAUAUUGCACAAUGGGGGGAACCCUGAUGCAGCAACGCCGCGUGAGUGAAGAAGGCAUUCGUGUCGUAAAACUCUGUAGUAGGGGAAGAAAGAAAUGACAGUACCCUAAAAGAAAGCCCCGGCUAACUACGUGCCAGCAGCCGCGGUAAUACGUAGGGGGCAAGCGUUAUCCGGAAUAACUGGGCGUAAAGGGUGCGCAGGUGGUUUAACAAGUUAGUGGUGAAAGGCAUAGGCUCAACCAAUGUAAGCCAUUAAAACUGUUUAACUUGAGUGCAGGAGAGGAAAGUGGAAUUCCUAGUGUAGCGGUGAAAUGCGUAGAUAUUAGGAGGAAUACCAGUGGCGAAGGCGACUUUCUGGACUGCAACUGACACUGAGGCACGAAAGCGUGGGGAGCAAACAGGAUUAGAAACCCUAGUAGUCC
rnacentral:rRNA from 1 species